CUCCCGCCGGCGACCGGCGCACGGGUGAGUAACACGUAUGAAACCUGCCCGUAGCAGGGGGAUAAGCGGAAGAAAUUCCGUCUAAUACCGCGUAACAACCCGAGGAGGCAUCUCCUCGGGUUUAAAGGAAGCGAUUCCGGCUACGGAUGGUCAUGCGUCGCAUUAGCUAGUUGGCGGGGUAACGGCCCACCAAGGCGACGAUGCGUAGGGGUUCUGAGAGGAGGGUCCCCCACACUGGUACUGAGACACGGACCAGACUCCUACGGGAGGCAGCAG
rnacentral:rRNA from 1 species